rnacentral:rRNA from 1 species
AAAUUGAAGAGUUUGAUCAUGGCUCAGAUUGAACGCUGGCGGCAGGCCUAACACAUGCAAGUCGAACGGUAGCACAGAGGAGCUUGCUCCUUGGGUGACGAGUGGCGGACGGGUGAGUAAUGUCUGGGAAACUGCCCGAUGGAG